rnacentral:rRNA from 1 species
AGUUUGAUCAUGGCUCAGGACGAACGCUGGCGGCGUGCCUAACACAUGCAAGUCGAACGAGGUCCAAGGAAGCUUGCUUCCUGAAGACCUAGUGGCGAACGGGUGAGUAACACGUGAGAAACCUGCCUCGGAGUGGGGAAUAACUCGGGGAAACUCGAGCUAAUACCGCAUACCUUCACAUGAUCGCAUGGUCGAGUGAAGAAAGAAUUUCGCUCUGAGAGGGUCUCGCGGCCUAUCAGCUUGUUGGUGGGUAACGGCCUACCAAGGCAACGACGGGUAGCUGGUUUGAGAGAACGAUCAGCCACACUGGGACUGAGACACGGCCCAGACUCCUACGGGAGACAGCAGUGGGGAAUCUUGCGCAAUGGGCGAAAGCCUGACGCAGCAACGCCGCGUGCGGGAUGACGGCCUUCGUGGUUGUAAACCGCUUUCAGCAGGGACGAAAAUGACGGUACCUGCAGAAGAAGCCCCGGCUAACUACGUG